rnacentral:misc_RNA from 1 species
AAGGUUCUCCAUCACCAUGAGAUCAUGUUUCGUCUCUUUCCCACUUUUUGUUGGCCUUACAAUGACCUGAUAAAUGCCAAGAACUUUUGCAAGGCAGGUCUGAUUUCCCUUCUCGUAGCACUGUUCCAUGUACUCAAAAUAAUUAGGACCAAACUUCAAGAAUGAUUCAAAUUCGAUUCUCUGUAUUUCCUUGAUGAUGAGACGGUCAUCGAGAGUUUUGGCAAACAAGGAUUUACUUUUCCCACCUUUAGCAUCCCACUUCUUACACCUACUUAGUGAAGCAAUAUAAUCAACUUCAGAUGGGCAACAUCGACCUCGCAAAUGAGAGAACUCACUAGCAUAGAGACAUAUAACUGAGUAUUUACGCUUCCCAGGCAAUUUCCCAGAACCCAUAGAGACUUCAGGAUGAAGAGUUGAAAAAGAAACCAAAGAAUUUAACAUAUCUAACCCAUUCAUACUCGAUGAACGUGUUUGUUCUGAAACUUGGGUAGACUGGAUCCCUUCUAGAUCUAAAGAGCUACUUGAAGAGAAAUGAGGAGCCAGCGAGAAUAAUCUCAUUAUGCCUUGAGAACUUUCAUGUGCCUUAUCAUCAAUUCCUCUAUCUUUUCUUCCAACAUCUCUAAGAUCUUCACCCACAAUUGGUAAAUCCUUCAGCGAUGCUAAAGCGCAAGCGAUGAUGCUAGAAAAUUCAUCUUCAU